AAAAUUUGAGUAGAUUUCAAGAGGCAGACGGGUUGGGCCUUCCCACACGGGCUAGACACACGGCCAUGUGCCAGAUUGUGUGGAUUUUGUGAUUCGCAGUUCGAGCAUGCGAAAAAACACAAUUUGUAGGUUUUUUGGGCAUUUUAAAACCUAUAAAUACCAAAUAUAAGAAGAGAAAAGAUAGCCGCUAGAGAAUAUUGAAGAAAACAACUCAGAAAAUGCCAUUGAAGUUGACUCUAAAGUAGAUUUCUAUCAAGAUUGAAGAUCUUUUUAAUUUCUUUGAAUUUUUUAUGAGUUUCUUUAUUUCUUGUGGUUAUACUAACUUUGAGAUGUUUUUAUUCACGAU
rnacentral:lncRNA from 1 species